rnacentral:rRNA from 1 species
AAGUUUAAAGGGCCGCGGUAUUAUGACCGUGCAAAGGUAGCAUAGUCAAUAGUCUCUUAAUUGGAGGCUGGAAUGAACGGUUGGACGGGAAGAUAGCUGUCUUAACUGAGUACUACGAAUUUGACUUUUAUGUGAAAAGGCAUAAAUGGUUUGGGGGGACGAUAAGACCCUAUAAAACUUUAUAAUUUGAUUAGGAAUUUGAUUUGAGUUUAAUAUGUGCCUAAGGAUUGUUAUUUCGCUGGGGAGGUGGAAAUAAAAUUCUUCUAACUGUUUUAUAAUGUAAAUAACAAUAAUUAGAUGAUGACCCUGAAUUUUGGUUUAAAAGUUUAAGUUACUUUAGGGAUAACAGCGUAAUCUCUCUUGAGAGUUCAUAUCGACAGAGAUGGUUGCGACCUCGAUGUUGAAUUAAAAUUUCCUACAGGAGUAGAAAUUUGUGGGGUAGGUCUGUUCGACCUUUAAAGUUUU